UAACCUGCCCAAGAGAUCGGGAUAACACCUGGAAACAGAUGCUAAUACCGGAUAACAACAGAUGAUGCCUAUCAACUGUUUAAAAGAUGGUUCUGCUAUCACUCUUGGAUGGACCUGCGGUGCAUUAGCUAGUUGGUAGGGUAACGGCCUACCAAGGCGAUGAUGCAUAGCCGAGUUGAGAUACUGAUCGGCCACAUUGGGACUGAGACACGGCCCAAACUCCUACGGGAGGCAGCAGGC
rnacentral:rRNA from 1 species